rnacentral:rRNA from 1 species
UACGUAGGUGGCAAGCGUUGUCCGGAAUUACUGGGCGUAAAGGGCGUGUAGGCGGCCUUUUAAGUCAGGCGUGAAAUCCAUGGGCUUAACCCAUGAAUUGCGUUUGAAACUGGAGGGCUUGAGGAUCGGAGAGGGCAGUGGAAUUCCCAGUGUAGCGGUGAAAUGCGUAGAUAUUGGGAGGAACACCAGUGGCGAAGGCGACUGCCUGGACGACACCUGACGCUGAGGCGCGAAAGCUAGGGGAGCAAACGGG